GUUGAUGAUAAUGGAGCUAAGUGUAUGGCCAAUAGUGAGAGGUCAUGAGUAGUGGGCUGAUAUUAACUCCAGGUACCAGGGCAUCACCCAUCUGCAACCUGGCAGACAAACAUUAUCAUCUGUAUGUUUACCAAGAGUAGGACAGAAAACCUAGUGUGGAUGUAGGGUGGAUGUAGGGUGGAUGUAGUGUAGAUGUAGUGUGGAUGUAGAUGUAGUGUAGAUGUAGUGUAGAUGUAGUGUGGAUGUAGAUGUAGUGUGGAUGUAGUGCGGAUGUAGAUGUAGUGUGGAUGUAGUGUGGAUGUAGAUGUAGUGUGGAUGUAGUGUGGAUGUAGUGCGGAUGUAGAUGUAGUGUAGAUGUAGUGUGGAUGUAGUGUGGAUGUAGAUGUAGUGUGGAUGUAGUGUGGAUGUAGUGUGAAUGUAGAUGUAAUGUAGUGUGGAUGUAGAUGUAGUGUAGAUGUAGUGUGGAUGUAGUGUGGAUGUAGAUGUAGUGUAGAUGUAGUGUGGAUGUAGUGUUGAUGUAGUGUGGAUGUAGAUGUAGUGUGGAUGUAGUGUGGAUGUAGAUGUAGUGUGGAUGUAGUGUGGAUGUAGUGCGGAUGUAGAUGUAGUGUAGAUGUAGUGUGGAUGUAGUGUGGAUGUAGUGUAGUGUGGAUGUAGUGCGGAUGUAGAUGUAGUGUGGAUGUAGAUGUAGUGUGGAUGUAGAUGUAGUGUGGAUGUAGUGUGGAUGUAGAUGUAGUGUGGAUGUAGUGUGGAUGUAGAUGUAGUGUGGAUGUGAUGUAGUGUGGAUGUAGGGUGGAUGUAGUGUGGAUGUAGUGGGCAUGUAGGGUGGAUGUAGUGUGCAUGUAGGGUGGAUGUAGAUGUAGUGUGGAUGUAGUGUGGAUGUAGAUGUAGUGUAGAUGUAGUGUAGAUGUAGGGUGGAUGUAGUGUAGAUCUAGUGUGGAUGUAGAUGUAGUGUAGAUGUAGUGUGGAUGUAGUGUGGAUGUAGAUGUAGUGUGGAUGUAGUGUGGAUGUAGUGUGGAUGUAGAUGUAGUGUAGAUGUAGUGUGGAUGUAGUGUGGAUGUAGAUGUAGUGUAGAUGUAGUGUGGAUGUAGUGUGGAUGUAGAUGUAGUGUAGAUGUAGUGUGGAUGUAGUGUUGAUGUAGUGUGGAUGUAGAUGUAGUGUGGAUGUAGUGUGGAUGUAGUGUGGAUGUAGAUGUAGUGUGGAUGUAGUGCGGAUGUAGAUGUAGUGUAGAUGUAGUGUGGAUGUAGUGUGGAUGUAGUGUAGUGUGGAUGUAGUGCGGAUGUAGAUGUAGUGUGGAUGUAGAUGUAGUGUGGAUGUAGAUGUAGUGUGGAUGUAGUGUGGAUGUAGAUGUAAUGUGGAUGUAGU
rnacentral:lncRNA from 1 species